GACGAACGCUGGCGGCGUGCUUAACACAUGCAAGUCGAACGAAGUGGCGCACGCGUGAGUAACGCGUAAUCACCCUGUCCUUCAGAGGGGGACAACGGUUGGAAACGACUACUAAUACCGCAUACUGAAGGAGGGGAUUGCGUCUGAUUAGCUAGUUGGCGGGGUAACGGCCAAACAAGGCGAAGAGCAGUAGCCGGUCUGGGAGUAUGAACGGCCACAUUGGGACUGAGACACGGCCCAGACUCAUACGGGAGGCAGCAGUGGGGAAUCGUCCGCAAUGGACGAAAGUCUGACGGAGCAACGCCGCGUGAGUGAUGACGGUCUUCGGGUUGUAAAGCUCUGUUAAUCGGGACGCGGUACCGGAAUAGAAAGGCACGGCUAACUACGUGCCAGCAGCCGCGGUAAUAC
rnacentral:rRNA from 1 species